CACAAGACAAAAAUUCGAAACCCGUUUAGCAUGUUAAGCAUUAGUUACUUUUAUUGGAAACAAAAACACAAACAAACAAAAAACGCCCAAAAUACAUAAUGUUAUUUAAAAAUGCUGGUGGAAAUUAAAACGUUAGGGGUAGGGUGGGGGCUUGGGACUCGCUCCAUCACAAGCAGUUCACUUGCUCACUGCCUCGGCCCAGUGUUACCAGGUGACUCCUUCCACAGCCUCUAGGGCUCUGGAACCCCGGGAGAUCGUGAUUCCGCUGGAGAGCACCCCCUGGUGGCUAGCUCUGAAGAGGCUGUGUCUGAACUGCAGGGCAGGAAAGUAAGGAGGCUGACAGUUGAACACCGGGCCCCUGCCUCCCCCACAGCUGUCACCACUGCACAGAGGAUGGCACUGGAUUGACUGGCAGAAUUCAUCUUCCUCAUGAAGGAGCUGUGACAGGGUUCUCAUCUGGGCUCUGGAGGAGGCCUGGUGACCAGAUGUUCUGGUUCAAGGCCUACUGGAUGGACAGGGCCAGCCAAAGGGCCAGGAUGUCCCAGCAAGGCUUGGGAGAUGUGGGAUGGCCCUCUUCCCAUGCAGCCUCAAACCCUGGACCGGACCCACAGAUUCUGGUGAGACAAGGAAGGAGGCUGGGAAAAGCUGACUCCAGGGAGGGGCUUUGGGGGCUGUCUAGCAGCUGGCAGAGACCCAGCAAACUCCCUGCACAUGAUAUCCUGCUCUACCAAGGCUGUCCCAGGCUGUUCAGAC
rnacentral:lncRNA from 1 species